rnacentral:lncRNA from 1 species
GCACAGGGUGUGACACAGUGGGCCAGUCACUGGAGGAAGGAGCAGGUGCCUCUAAGUGUCCAGUUCCAAACCAACUGGACAUGCUGCAGUCUCCUUCAUCCUCACAGCAAGACAUUGUAUUGUUCCACUCCAGGAAAUAUGUGACAGUCAUCAGAAAAGCUUAAACAGUAUGACUAGGAUAGCUGUCGGGACAGGCCUGCUGGUGCAGCAGCCACAUUGCCAUCUGCCUUGCUGCCUAGCUUCCUGGGUUCUCCCAGGCCCAUUCCAACUCUCCGUUUUGAGAAACUGAAGUCAGAGAAACUACAAACGACCCCACAUGUCACUGAGGCUCCACAACUCCUAGCCACAGAGAGAGCUGCCCAGCAAUCAAGUCCACGCAUAUGUGGGGUUACCAAGUCAGAUCCAUCUUAGACCUCAUAGGGAAUAUAUUCCUAUAAAACUGGCAGGGUACAAUGUGAAGAUGAUUGGCAGUGUGGAAAUCCAGACCUUCUACUCAAUGGCCUCAUCUGCCUGAGCCUCAGUGUUCCCAUCUGUGGAGUGGGGCCAUCCUCUUAAAUGAGGUCAUAAGCACAUGGUGCUUAGUGCUCACUGUGCAAGACCCAUAGUUUUUAAUACUGCGCAAAAGAAGCUAUUACCGGUGUUGUUCAAGAUGGGGACUGGGAAGGAGGCUUGAAUGUUAGCCAAAGGCUGACUGAUAUUCAGGGCAGGGGUGGGACAAGGGGCUUGGGGCACAUUGUACUGGAGAGCUCUGGGACUUGGCCUUGUCAGUUCUCUGUCCCUUGUCCUGGAGGAAGGAGGCCCUGUCUGGGUGUGUGCCCCUCCCCAGGAGACCUGCCUUGGCCCUUGCAGCACCCCAGCUCCCAGAGGAGCCAGCAGCAGCCGGGCUGCAGCCCUGCCUUGCUCUGUCUGUGUCUGCGGAAGGCAGAACGGCGUGUACUCACACAGCAAGCAAAUCCCCAGAUGCGGCCUUUCCGGCUGCCACGUUUUCCCUCAUGAAAUUCCUAACUUGGUGUGUUGUGUUUUUCUAAAAACACACCCACGGCCUCCAAAAACCUCAGCCGGGGAAGGGGAAACAUUUCUGGUUGAAUUGCCGGUUUUUGAAAUGGUGUCAGAUUAUGCCCCCUCUGGUGGCCUGGAUUCACCAUUCUUUCUAUCAACAGCCUUUCCGAGGGGCUGGGCUGGUAGAUCUCAUCUAGGCCAGCUCCCCCAAACAGAUAAGGAAACUGAGGCUGAAGGAGGCCGAGGAUUCCUCCCAGACCACAUGCAGGUCUCCAGACCCCAAGUCUGACUUCUUCUUUAACCCCAGGUCACGAGGAUGAGCUGAGGCCGCCUUUGCCCCACAGACAUGCUUGCCUUGGCCUGACGGUGUUUUGAUCUGUGCAAGUUGCCAGCAUUUAAAACUCAGGAGAUUCCAUAUUU